rnacentral:lncRNA from 7 species
ACUUCCCGUUGGGUUGGGACUCCAUUUUUCAGAUCCCAUGGAUCCCACGGACAGCGCUGCCCUCGAUCAGACCCAAAAUUCACCUCAGGAGGCCAAAAGUUUGAGGAGAUGAAUGGUCUGGGUUGAUCGCCUCUCCUACUCACCCAGGCUGCGACCUCACUGCUGUGCAUCGUUUCCAGCUCAGCACUUGAGAGCAGAGCCCAGCUGAAACCAGCGCACCGCAGUAUGAUGGGCAUCUUGGUUGCCUUGUGGCUUCUCACCACCCGUCCCACCCUGCCUGCCUAGGGAGGGGACAUUGCACUGAGAUGGAGAAGUUGAAACUCCAACCCACAGUUGCUUGCCAUACAGGAAAUACUACUGAAGAGAGACUUGAAUAUAAAGAAGAAUUUUUCCAGCAGAUGAUGCAGCCAUGGGUUCAAAGCAGUGAAUACGAGCUUAUGUCAUGGAGGAGGUAAGGGUUGGGGAGAAGUCCUUGGAAUGAUACCAAAUGGCACAGGUGGCUUAAAGGUGUGUUUAAAUAAUAAAAUGCACACCUGCCAGACCUACAUAUGCACAUAACAGAGAGCUACAUCCUUCCCUAAGGGUGUGAUGAGGCAUUAAUUUACUCUGCAGAGAACCUGAUGGAGGUGUGAUAGGAAGCUGAGGCUGUCAUCUGUGACUUCAUUCCCAUUGAUGUCUCCUGAUGGACCUCGUAGAGGCAAUGGUGGCAGCCAGACUGCUAUUGCUUAAGUCACACAGAAAUUCAAGAGGGUUUCAAAUAAUUAACUGGAAAUUGUGCUUGUGAAGCUCUGAAUUUAGCUUUGGCCAAAUACAGCACCCU